rnacentral:rRNA from 1 species
AACGAACGCUGGCGGCGUGGAUGAGGCAUGCAAGUCGAACGAUCAUCUGUCUGUAGCAAUACAAGCAGAUGGUAGUGGCGUAAGGGUGAGUAAUACGUGAGUAAUCUGCCUCCAAGAUGGGCAUAACCUGGCGAAAGCCGGACUAAUUCCCAAUGUGGUCGCCUGUCACAUGACGGGCUGUCUGAAGUCGGGGACCGCAAGGCCUGACACUUGGAGAUGAGCUCGCGCCCUAUCAGCUUGUUGGUGAGGUAACGGCUCACCAAGGCUUACGGGUAGCUGGUCUGAGAGGAUGGUCAGCCACACUGGGACUGAGAUACUGCCCAGACUCCUACGGGUGCAG